rnacentral:tRNA from 1 species
GCCGGGAUAACUCAGUCCGGUUAGAGUGCCACGCUCAUACCGUGGAUGUCGGGGGUUCAAAUCCCCUUCCCGGCA